CGGAGCCCUGAGGCUGCGCGGAGCCGGGGUCGCUCUGGCGCUGCCGGUGCCCGACCGCGCGAGGGGCCGAGCAUGAGGCUCGCCCAGCGGCCGGGGCAGGACAGCGAGUCCCCCGUGCGUGGCAGAGGGUAAUUGUCCUCUGAAUUCCCAUGACAUACCGGCAGGAGGACUACAAAGAAUCUAUCAAAAUGAUGACAAAUAUUGUAAUUUUGAGCUUGCUUAUUUGUAUUUCAUUAUCUUUCUGGAUUGUGUCCAUGACAGCAAGUACAUACUAUGGUAUGCCCAGGUGGAGCUCCUCUCCUGUGUAUACUAUGGGAGGUCCACAGCAACAAGGCUCCCUUCCUGU
rnacentral:lncRNA from 1 species